rnacentral:rRNA from 1 species
UACGAAGGGGGCUAGCGUUGCUCGGAAUUACUGGGCGUAAAGCGCACGUAGGCGGGUCGUUUAAGUCGGGGGUGAAAUCCUGGAGCUCAACUCCAGAACUGCCUUCGAAACUGACGAUCUUGAGUUCGGGAGAGGUGAGUGGAACUGCGAGUGUAGAGGUGAAAUUCGUAGAUAUUCGCAAGAACACCAGUGGCGAAGGCGGCUCACUGGCCCGAUACUGACGCUGAGGUGCGAAAGCUAGGGGAGCAAACGGG